GUGGGAAUAGCUCAGUGGUAGACAGAGCACAUGUUUAGCAUGCAUGAGGUCAUGGGUUCAAUCCCUGGUACCUCCA
rnacentral:tRNA from 1 species